AUCUGCCCCAGAUGGAAAUGAAAAGCCUUUUUGGGAGAAACUUUAUUUUUUCCUGAACCAGAAAAGCGACCAAAGGAAGCUCUUUCUUGUUCUUAGAAAAAAAGAGUUACGACAAAAAGCUUGUAAUGUACAGCUGGAUAAGGC
rnacentral:sRNA from 1 species